GAGAAAGAUGAAGACGAGCCUGAACCAAAGAGAAG
rnacentral:sRNA from 1 species